GAGUAGACUUGUUAGCUGUCUAUAAAGUCAGUGCUGUCACCAUCAUCAACAGACAAGACUGUUGCUCUGAAAGGAUUCUUGGGGCAGAGAUUCGGAUCGGGGACUCACUGGAUCAAAGUGGAAAUCAAAACCCGAGCACCAGAAGCUGUUACUCCUUCACCAACUCCUCCAACACCUCCUCCCACACCUCCCACUGUGAGUGUGCAGCUUGGUGGCAGGAACGUGACGGUGGUGGGAGAGAGGCUCUGCUGGUCUGAUGCUCUGAUGUACUGUAGACGUUAUUACUGGGACCUGCUCAGCCUUCACAGCCAACAGGAGCAAAGCGAGUUGGAGCAGCUGCUGGGCCUCAUUCCUUUCUCCCUCACAGACCACGUCUGGAUGGGACUGCGCAGAUCCUUGAGUGGAGACGACUGGUUCUGGAUGUCCGGACACUCCAUGAAUUUCUUCAACUGGCCACAAGAUUUUGUCCCUUACUAUUACUCCAGCAUGUGUGGAGCUAUGAGCAAUGGAGAGCACUUCCUGUGGCAGGACCUGCACUGUGGGGAACACCUCAACUUCAUCUGCCAAUCAGGUGCUGGGGACAAUGUGCAAAGAGUGGACUUCUACAGCACCAAGAAUGUCACAACUGUAAAGUAAAGGCCAACAAUAUACUGCAUAUCGGAAUACUUCUAAGUUACUAAUAGUUUUCAUAUACAUAUACAUACAUAUAUAUAACUGACAGUUAGGUUGCUCACCAAAUGGAGCGUCAUAGUCUACAACUGAAUGCCAG
ensembl:lncRNA